GAUGAACGCUAGGCGGCAGGCCUAACACAUGCAAGUCGAGGGGCAUCAUGGCGUAGCAAUACGCUGAUGGCGACCGGCGCGACGGGUGCGUAACGCGUAUGGAACCUACCCACCGCAGGGGGACUAACCCGCCGAAAGGCGGACUAAUACCCCAUGGUUCCCCGACCCUGCCUGGGGUUGGGGGUAAAGCCUACGGGCGGCGGUGGAUGGCCCUGCGUGCCAUUAGCUGGCUGGUGGGGUAACGGCCCACCAGGGCGACGAUGGCUAGGGGGUCUGAGAGGACGAUCCCCCACACUGGUACUGAGACACGGACCAGACUCCUACGGGAGGCAGCAGUGAGGAAUAUUGGUCAAUGGGCGCAAGCCUGAACCAGCCAUCCCGCGUGAAGGAAGAAUGCGCUACGCGUUGUAAACUUCUUUUCCAGGGGGAGAAUAAUCCUGUCGUGACAGGACUUGACGGUACUCUGGGAAUAAGCAUCGGCUAACUCCGUG
rnacentral:rRNA from 1 species